UUCAGCUACUUUACCAGAAUCCUCCACUCUGGAGGAAGUAUCGAUGAUAGUAACAGGGAUUCGAUCAGGAUAGAAAUCCUCAGGCAGCCUGGUGGGCGGGAGAACCGGCGGAACAUUAACCGGAAAAUUGUCAGUGGCGGCUGUGACCAUCAAGCUCGACUUCCCGGUGCCACGGUCUCCAGCUACCACGAUACGGACUCCACUCUUACUGCCCAGGCUAGUAGUUCCAGUUGCAACUUUCGCCAUAUAUAAAUUAUAAAUAAAAACACUGCAAAUCGAAAUCAAGAACCCUCACCGAUCAAAACCAAUAUAUACAGAAGCUCACACGCAUAGAUGCAAAGAAGAGUGGCAAAAAGGCGUAAAUAACCUGGGGAAGGAGGGUUAAUACUGUGAUUUUGAGGGAUAAAUUGAGAGGUACGAAACUGGAAUAAUAACAAUCACAGAAAAAAAAUCUCUAACCAGAUGAAGAGGUUGACAUUAGGGAUUAGGUGCAGUGGCAAAAACGUAAAAUACCCACUACUUGUUCUCAGUAGAAGUUUCUAGAUUGGGGCCAUUGGAAAAAAAAUAGUGAAUAUGGAGAUUUGUACCUUGUAGAUAGCAGUUCAGAAAAGGAUUUAGAGAGAGGCCACCAAAAACCCUAGUUUGCGGCGUUAGUGGCGGUGGUGGUGGCAGUGGUGGUGGCUAUGGAGUCUUGGACAAGAAGAAUAUGAGCAGCUAUGCAGGUUCAGGAGAAAACUAAAAAAAUAUAACAAUAAAAUCGAAAUUCUUGCGUGGAUUUUC
rnacentral:misc_RNA from 1 species